AUGAUGGGUUACUAUGAAGUUAUGAGCGUGCAGAGACAUGCCUCACUCGAGGAUAUCAAAAAGGCAUACAGGAAGCAGGCACUCAAGUGGCACCCACAUAAAAAUCACGAGAAUAAAGAAGCAGAGCGAAAGUUCAAAAAAGUAGCAGAGGCCUAGGAGGUAUUAUCAGAUGCUAGAAGCGGGACAUCUAUGACAAAUAUGGCAAAGAAGGAUUAGAUGGAGGAGGAGGUGGGGGAGGUCACUUUGACAGUCCGUCUGAGUUUGGCUUCACAUUCCACAAUCCAGAUGAUGUCUUCAGGGAAUUUUUUGGUGGCAGGGACCCAUUUUCAUUCUAUUUCCUUGAAGACCCAUUUAAUGUUUUUUUUGAUAACCGAAGGGAUGCCCGAGGAAGCAGAAACAGAGGCACGGGCUCCUUUUUCUCAGCCUUCAGUGGAUUUCCAUCAUUUGGAAGUGGAUUUUCUUCAUUCGAUACAGGAUUCACUCAGUUCAGAUUACCCGGUCACGGGGGUCUCACUUCCUUCUCUUCAACUCGUUUGGAGGCAGUGGGAUGGGCAACUUGAAGUCAAUAUCAACUUCCACUAAAAUAGUUAAUGGCAGAAAAAUCACUACAAAAAGAAAUGUGGAGAAUGGUCAAGAGAGAGUAGAAGUUGAGGAAGACAGCCAGUUAGAGUCCUUGAUGGUAGGUGGGAAGGAGCAGCUGCUACGCUUGGAUAACAAGUAA